GACGAACGCUGGCGGCGUGCUUAACACAUGCAAGUCGAGCGGUAAGGCCCUUUCGGGGGUAUACGAGCGGCGAACGGGUGAGUAACACGUGAGCAACCUGCCCUUCUCUUUGGAAUAAGCGUUGGAAACGACGUCUAAUGCCGAAUAUGACCCCCUGUCGCAUGGUGGGGGGUGGAAAGCUCUGGCGGAGAAGGAUGGGCUCGCGGCCUAUCAGCUUGUUGGUGUGGGUAAUGGCCCACCAAGGCGACGACGGGUAGCCGGCCUGAGAGGGUGACCGGCCACACUGGGACUGAGACACGGCCCAGACUCCUACGGGAGGCAGCAGUGGGGAAUAUUGGACAAUGGGCGAAAGCCUGAUCCAGCAACGCCGCGUGAGGGAUGACGGCCUUCGGGUUGUAAACCUCUUUCAGCAGGGACGAAGCGAGAGUGACGGUACCUGCAGAAGAAGGACCGGCCAACUACGUGCCAGCCGCCGCAGUAA
rnacentral:rRNA from 1 species